CAUGCAAGUCGAACGGCAGCAUGAUCUAGCUUGCUAGAUUGAUGGCGAGUGGCGAACGGGUGAGUAAUACAUCGGAACGUGCCCUGUAGUGGGGGAUAACUAGUCGAAAGAUUAGCUAAUACCGCAUACGACCUGAGGGUGAAAGUGGGGGACCGCAAGGCCUCAUGCUAUAGGAGCGGCCGAUGUCUGAUUAGCUAGUUGGUGGGGUAAAGGCCCACCAAGGCGACGAUCAGUAGCUGGUCUGAGAGGACGAUCAGCCACACUGGGACUGAGACACGGCCCAGACUCCUACGGGAGGCAGCAGUGGGGAAUUUUGGACAAUGGGCGAAAGCCUGAUCCAGCAAUGCCGCGUGUGUGAAGAAGGCCUUCGGGUUGUAAAGCACUUUUGUCCGGAAAGAAAUGGCUCUGGUUAAUACCUGGGGUCGAUGACGGUACCGGAAGAAUAAGGACCGGCUAACUACGUGCCAGCAGCCGCGGUAAUACGUAGGGUCCAAGCGUUAAUCGGAAUUACUGGGCGUAAAGCGUGCGCAGGCGGUUGUGCAAGACCGAUGUGAAAUCCCCGAGCUUAACUUGGGAAUUGCAUUGGUGACUGCACGGCUAGAGUGUGUCAGAGGGGGGUAGAAUUCCACGUGUAGCAGUG
rnacentral:rRNA from 1 species